rnacentral:rRNA from 1 species
AACGAACGCUGGCGGCAGGCUUAACACAUGCAAGUCGAGCGCCCCGCAAGGGGAGCGGCAGACGGGUGAGUAACGCGUGGGAAUCUACCUUUUGCUACGGAAUAACGCAGGGAAACUUGUGCUAAUACCGUAUGUGCCCUUCGGGGGAAAGAUUUAUCGGCAAAGGAUGAGCCAGCGUUGGAUUAGCUAGUUGGUGGGGUAAAGGCCUACCAAGGCGACGAUCCAUAGCUGGUCUGAGAGGAUGAUCAGCCACAUUGGGACUGAGACACGGCCCAAACUCCUAAGGGAGGCAGCAGUGGGGAAUAUUGGGCAAUGGGCGCAAGCCUGAUCCAGCCAUGCCGCGUGAGUGAUGAAGGCCUUAGGAUUGUAAAGCUCUUUCACCGGUGAAGAUAAUGACGGUAACCGGAGAAGAAGCCCCGGCUAACUUCGUGCCAGCCGCCGCAGUAA